rnacentral:rRNA from 1 species
AGUGAACGCUGGCGGCGUGCCUAAUACAUGCAAGUCGAACGCAGUGGCGCACGGGUGAGUAAUAUAUAGUUAAUCUGCCCUACACAGAGGAACAACAGUUGGAAACGACUGCUCAUACCUCAUAGUGUAGGCUGAGACUAUAUCGUAUCAGCUAGUUGGUAAGGUAAUGGCUUACCAAGGCUAUGACGCGUAACUGGUCUGAGAGGAUGAGCAGUGACAUUGGAACUGAGACACGGUACAAACGCCGACGGGAGGCAGCAGGAAGGAAUAUUGCGCAAUGGGGGGAGCCCUGACGCAGCAACGACGCGUGGAGGAUGACACUUUUCGGAGCGGAAACUACUUGUAUCAGGAAAGCGGUACCUAAUGAAUAAGCACCGGCUAACUCCGUGCCAGCAGCCGCGGUAAUUC